rnacentral:lncRNA from 1 species
AGGGCUAUUCCAGAAAAAAAUGUAUGGGGGUGGGGGGGGUGGAAGGCAGUUUUUGUCAGCACCCGCCACCCAGACAAUUGUAAUUGAGAAUUAUAGUGCAUUAUAGUGUGAAAAGUUGCUCUGAUACCCAUCACCCAUGUAUUAUUAAUAUAAUGUGCCUUCUUUUGUCUUAAACAAGAGUGCACACGCUGAAAUGUCUCGCCUUCUAUACUAAUCAUUGAUAUUAUGUUGAUAGUCCUAAGUAUAAAGCUAAGCUUUAAUACAACUGUCACAUAAACUUAACAUUAACCAAGAUAACUAAACAAAGACCAAUGAACCUUGAAAAUGAGGUCAAAGGUCAGAUGAACCAUGCCAGGCAGACAUGUACAGCUAACAAUGCUUCUAUACAACAUAUAUAGUUGACCUAUUACUUAUAGUUUAAGAAAAAUAGACCAAAACACAGAAACUUAGCACUGUGCAAUGAACCGUGAAAAUGAAGUCACGGUCAAAUAAAACCUGCGCGACUGACAUAAAGAUCAUAAAAUAUUUCCAUACACCAAAUAUAGAUGACCUACGGCAUAUAGUAUUAGAUAAAAAGACCAAAACUCAAAAACUUAACUUUGACCACUGAACCAUGAAAAUGAGGUCAAGGUCACAUGACAUCUGCCCGCUAGAUAGGUACACCUUACAAUCAUUCCAUACAACAAAUAUAGUAGACCUAUUGCAUAUAGUAUGAGAAAAACAGACCAAAACACAAAAAUUUAACUAUAACCACUGAACCAUGAAAAUGAGGUCAAGGUCAGAUGACACCUGCCAGUUGGACAUGUACACCUUACAGUCCUUCCAUACACCGAAUAUACUAGCCCUAUUGCUUGUAGUAUCUGAGAUAUGGACUUGACCACCAAAACUUAACCUUGUUCACUGAUCCAUGAAAUGAGGUCGAGGUCAAGUGAAAACUGUCUGACAGACAUGAGGACCUUUCAAGGUACGCACAUAUUAAAUAUAG